GAUGGGUUCUGGAGAGCAUGCCUCAAGAAAUCAUCGACACCCAUGAACUGCAAACAAUCACUUUGGAUUACAGAAGGGAAUGCCAACAUGAUGAUAUAGUUGAUUCCCUCACAAGUGUGGAACCUAUUGAGGAUUCAGAGCUUCAUGAAACAAAUGGUUCUGUCACUGCAACCGCUGGCUACCAGGAUUGCCGAAACUUUUUACAUCUACUGAGAUUGUCAAGUGAUGGGCUCGAAAUAAACCAAGGUCGCACUGAGUGGAGGAAAAAACCCACAAGAUAAAAGGUAAAUCUCUGUACUUGUUUGGACGUCUACCAGUUUUUUAGAGGAUCCCUGCUGGUUUCUUUUUCUGUUCUUUCACUUCCAAGUAAUGUUCUGAUUAUGUUGUUAGGUUAGAUAUUGUGUUGAAAAAAUAGACAUUGCUUGGACGAAAGAGGAAAAUGUACCUAAUUUAUAAAAUUGUUUCGUGUACCUCGCCAAGAAUCUUUAAUAAACACUAAACAGAAGCAGAACAAUUGAUUAAUUUACUUGGC
rnacentral:misc_RNA from 1 species